UAUUCAACAGGUGAGGUUGACCCGUACCAUACAUACAACAACUAUUACACACAUGGGUGAGGUUGACCAGUACCAUACACAACUAUUCACACAGGGUGAGGUUGACCAGGACAUACACAACUUUCACAAGGUGGAGGUGACCCAAGGACCAUACACAAAUUAUCACACAAGGUGAGGUUGACCAGUACCCAUACCCCAAACUGUCUCACAACACAGUGAGGUUGACCAGUACCAUACUACCACAAAACUAUUCACACACACGGUGAGGUUACCAGUACCAUACACAACUAUUCACACAAGAGGUGAAGGUUAACCAGUACCCUACACAACUAUUCACACAAGGUGAGGUUGACCAGUACCAUACCAACUAUUCACACAAGGUGAGGUUGACCAGUACCCAUACACAACUAUUCACCACCAGGUGAGGUUGACCAGUACCAUACACAACUAUUCACAAAGGUGAGGUUGACCGUACCAUACACAACUAUUCACACAAGGUUGAGGUUGACCCAGUUACCAUACAAACUAUUCAACAAGGUGAGGUUGACCGUACCAUACACAACUAUUCACACCAAGGUGAGGUUUGACCAGUACCAUACACAACUAUUCACACAAGGUGAUGGUUGACCAGUACCAUACAACAACUAUUCAACAAAGGUGUAGGUUGACCCAGUACCAUACACAAACUAUUCACACAAGUGAGGUUGACCAGUACCAUACACAACUAUUCACACAAGGUGAGGUUGACCAGUACCAUACACAACUAUUCACACAAGGUGAGGUUGACCAG
rnacentral:lncRNA from 1 species